GAGGAAAUGAACGAGUACAGCAACAUAGAGGAGUUCGUGGAGGGAUCCAAGAUCAACGCAAGCAAGAACCAGCAGGAUGACGGUAAAAUGUUUAUUGGAGGCUUGAGCUGGGAUACAAGCAAGAAGGACCUGACUGAGUACUUGUCUUGAUUUGGGGAAGUUGUAGAUUGCACCAUUAAAACAGACCCUGUCACUGGGCCAUCAAGAGGAUUUGGAUUCGUGCUUUUCAAAGAUGCUUCUAGUGUUGACAAGGUUUUGGAACUGAAAGAACACAAACUAGAUGGCAAAUUGAUAGACCCCCCAAAGGGCCAAAGCUUUAAAAGGGAAAGAGCCUCCUAAAAAAGGUGUUUGUGGGCGGACUGAGCCCAGAUACAUCCGAAGAACAAAUCAAAGAAUAUUUUGGAGCCUUCGGAGAGAUUGAAAACAUCAAACUUCCCAUGGAUACAAAAACAAAUGAAAGAAGAGGAUUUUGUUUUAUCACAUAUACAGAUGAAGAGCUGGUUAAAAAAUCGUUAGAGAAUAGAUACCAUCAAACUGGCUCUGGGAAUUGUGAGAUCAAAGUCACACAACCCAAAGAGGUCUACAGGCAGCAGCAGCAGAAAGGAGGGAGAGGUGCUGCUGCUGGUGGCCCAGGCAGGGCAAGGGGGCGUGGCCUAGGUCAGGGCCAAAACUGGAACCAAGGAUUUAAUAACUAUUCUGAUCAAGGAUAUAGAAAUUACAAUAGUGCCUAUGGUGGUGAUCAAAAUUAUAGUGGCUAUGGCGUAUAUGAUUAUACUGGGUAUAACUAUGGAAACUAUGGAUAUGGACAGGGAUAUGCAGACUACAGUGGCCAUAUGCAGACUACAGUGGCCAACAGAGCACUUUAUGGCAAGGCAUCUUGAGGGGGUGGCAAUCACCAAAACAAUUACCAGUCAUGCUAAAGGAGGACCUUGGAGGAAGCAGGAGGAGAUGUUUUAAAAGUAAUCCAUCUUGCAGGACGACAUUGAAGAUUGGUCUUCUGUUGAUCUGAGAUGAUUAUUUUGUAAAAGACUUUCUAGUGUACAAGACACAGCUGUGUCCAACUGUAUAUAGCUGCCAACUAGUUUUCUUUGUUCUUACUUUGUCCUUUGCUAUCUGUGUUACAACUCAGUGUGGAUUUGUAUACAUUUUUAUUUGUAUGAUUCCAUGUUAAACCUCAAAUAAGUGCUUCCUCAUGUGAUUG